ensembl:lncRNA LOC103693194 uncharacterized LOC103693194
GGAAAACAGAGAGGUUGGUGGUAUAGUGGUUAGCAAAGCUGCCUUCCAAAAAUUUGAUUCGGGUUCUGGUCCCGUACUGUGGUUGUCAUUUAAGCUUACCUUCUUAUUUCCCUGAAAUUUCCGUGAAAAUCAAUUUUCAGAAUUUUAUCAAACAGGAAGUUAGCCGUGAUUCCUCACGCCAAUCAUCCCAGCACUCGUGCUGGACUGAACGUCUGUAAACCACCAUGCCUGGUUAACAAGGAGCUGACACUGGGUCUGAGUCCAAAACCCAGCUUCAGCUUGAAUUUCAAGAUGGAUUUAUGUGAUGAGAGAAGCAGAAGGGGGUGCUUGGAGAUAGAGCCAAGGAAGAGGUGGGGAGGACCAGCUUGUGGAGGAGAGGGGAACCGAGAAAUGGAAAGCACCAGCUGGGACAUCCAGGAACUCCUCAUUCACCCCCACUGUCCCAUCAGCACCUCCCUGGCUCUGGUCCAGGUGGUUGGGGUAAGGAGUGGGCCCCCCGACUUAGGAGAGUCCCGCCCCAUCCCUGUCGCCCUCCUCCCUGCCUUCUCCUACCCCUGAGGCUUCAUCCCCUGGAGUGUGUUCAGCUGGAGAAAAGGGCUGGCUCUCCUACAAAGCAAACCUUUCCCUAAAGGCAAGCCGGGAAGUAGGAGAUGAAGAAAAGUUUCCAGAGCUCAGCCUCCUUCAAAGACUUGCAGCAGAGACUCGGCUCUUGCCACUGCUCAAGCCAAUCAACUUUGCAGGAAUGUUCUAGAGCCAAACCCACACAGCACUGGGUACCCUGAGACUGUCAAAAACAAAUAAACAAAAACAAGAAUCAAGUCCCAGAAAAGACACAAGAAGCCAGGGUAGGGGGCACCCUGGGAGAAACUUGUGUGGCCCAAAAAGAGUGGUCCCUCUGUGCUUCGGGACAUGUGAUGGGUCAUCAUGACUGUCUCUUAAACAUGGUGCAUCUGGCAUCAAUGACUCAACUUGGAGAGGUUUCCAUCAGAUAUGUGGAGAGGGAAGACCCAGCCUAAAUCUGGGCCACCUUCAAGUCAGGAAGGACAUAGGAGAAAAGGCUUUUGCUCACUGGCAGGUUCAUUCAUCCCUCCCUGCUGUUGGAACCUUCUUUGUGAUUCCAGUGUCAACUUAAGACCAGCAGCCUCCAAGGACUCCAGAUGGAUUCAGGUGAGACAUCUGGCCUAGAGGAAUAAGCAACAACUGGAUGUUUGGUCCCUCUGGUGUGAGAUGGCCAUUGUUGGGAAACUCAGACCAUGGACUGAGCAUUGUAACACCCUUCUGAGUGUAGUUCUAUUGUCACUUCUGCCACCAUGGCAUGUCAAGCAAGAACAUUAUCUCCAGAAGGUUCCUGGCAGUAUAUGGGUGACUCAACCUUUGAUUAAAGCACAGAAGAGAACUGGGUACUUUGUUGUUAAUUCACACACAUCUGUUAGGAGGGUGUCUUUAUUGGUUGGUUGGUUUGGGGUUUUGUUGUUUUGUCAACUUGAUACACACAAGUUUCAUAUGGGAAGAAGAAACUUCAAUUAAGACAACACCCACAUCAGAUUGAUGACUGAUUGGGUGGUGCCUAUUGUGGUGGUGCCGCCCCUGAGCUGGAGGUCCUGGGUUCUUUCUAUAAAGAAGCAGGCUGAACUUGCAAUGGGGAAAUAGCCUCCAUGGCCUCAGCAUCAGCUCCUGCCUCCAGGCUCUUGCUGUGACUUCCCUCAGUGAUGGACUAUCACAGCAACAGAGUGCUCAGUAGGACACCAGUUCUCCUUUCUCUACUGUAAAUGCAUACCUGUCACCACAUCACUCAAAGGUCUGAGACAAAAGGGUGGUUGUAAG